UACGUAGGGGGCAAGCGUUGUCCGGAUUUAUUGGGCGUAAAGAGCUCGUAGGCGGUUUGGUAAGUCUGGUGUGAAAUCUCCACGCUCAACGUGGAGGGGCCACCCGAUACUGCCAUGACUGGAGUCCGGUAGAGGAGUGUGGAAUUCCCGGUGUAGCGGUGAAAUGCGUAGAUAUCGUAAGGAAGACCAGUGGCGAAGGCGGGUCUCUGGACAGUUCCUGACGCUGAGGCACGAAGGUCAGGGGAGCAAACGGGG
rnacentral:rRNA from 1 species